rnacentral:rRNA from 1 species
GAUGAACGCUAGCUACAGACUUAACACAUGCAAGUCGAGGGGCAGCGCAGUGUAGCAAUACAUGGGCGGCGACCGGCGCACGGGUGCGUAACGCGUAUCCAACCUUCCCGUUACUCAGGGAUAGCCUUCCGAAAGGGAGAUUAAUACCUGAUGGUGUUGAAAUUCCGCAUGUUAUUUCAACUAAAGAUUUAUCGGUAACGGAUGGGGAUGCGUGACAUUAGUUAGUAGGCGGGGUAACGGCCCACCUAGUCUACGAUGUCUAGGGGUGCUGAGAGGAAGGUCCCCCACACUGGAACUGAGACACGGUCCAGACUCCUACGGGAGGCAGCAGUGAGGAAUAUUGGUCAAUGGUCGGAAGACUGAACCAGCCAAGUAGCGUGAAGGAUGAAGGUUCUAUGGAUUGUAAACUUCUUUUAUACGGGAAUAAAACCUCCCACGUGUGGGAGCUUGUAUGUACCGUAUGAAUAAGCAUCGGCUAACUCCGUGCCAGCAGCCGCGGUAAGAC